CCUACGGGAGGCAGCAGUGGGGGAUAUUGCACAAUGGGGGAAACCCUGAUGCAGCAACGCCGCGUGUAGGAAGAAGGUGUUCGGAUUGUAAACCACUGUUCUUGGUGAAGAUAAUGAAGGUAACCAAGGAGAAAGCUCCGGCUAACUACGUGCCAGCAGCCGCGGUAAUAAGUAGGGAGCAAGAGUUGUGCGGAUUUACGGGGUGUAAAGGGUGUGUAGGCGGGCUUGCAAGUCAGACGUGAAAACCACAGGCUCAACCUGUGGACUGAGUGUGAAAGGGUGGGGCUUGAGUGGAGUAGAGGUAGGCGGAAUUCCCGGUGUAGCGGUGAAAUGCGUAGAGAUCGGGAGGAACACCAGUGGCGAAGGCGGCCUACUGGGCUUUAACUGACGCUGAGGCACGAAAGCAUGGGUAGCAAACAGGAUUAGAUACCCGGGUAGUC
rnacentral:rRNA from 1 species